GUGUGGCAUGUGAUGAAUUUAAUGUGAAAUGGGUAAUUUGCGACUGAUUUGUUGUGAUGCUAAACUCACCUUGGAGAACUGAUGCCCCUU